CAUUUGUAAACACGAUGAAACUCUUGUCGAUACAUUUCGUCGAUAUGACAGGUUUCCUAACCCUAAAUAAUGUAAACUUUAAUGAUUAAUUUCGUUUUGCGAGGUAGAGCGAUGCUUUUUUUCUGCCAGAUUCUUUCGUUUUAGACGCAAAGACGCGUCGAAGCCUUUUUGUCAAAAUCGAAGAAAGCUGUAUGAAACAAAUUGAAAAUUGUGGCUUCCUCAAAUCAGAGAAGUAAUAACUUUAAGGCUACACAAAUCAUGAAAGAAACGUUUGUAAAGAAUUAUACAGAGACAAAAGCCGAGGAGUAUUUCAGAUAUAUGAAUAGUAAAGAUGGAAAUAGAGAAGAAUUAAAUAUGACAUCCUCAGGAUUAGAUGAUCUACUAAAACUCUAUGUAGAUCUGGCUAAAAUCUAUCGAGAGUGCAAUUUUACUUAUAAUCUAAAAUUUAAUGAUUUAUCUAUCUUAACUGAAAGAAACAAGAUACUGUCUAUAAUCAAGAUAAAUUCUGUACUCAUUAUUCAGGGAACAACCAGCUGUGAAAAAAUAACUUAGAUUCCACGAUUCUUAAUACUUAUAUGAAAAAGAGGCUUAACUGUGAUGUUAUAGUUACGCAACCAAGACAAAUUGCUGCGAUAAGUGUUGCCAAAAGAGUCAGCCAAGAAGGAAAUUGGAAUCUUGGUAGCCUCGUAGCCUUGAUAGCCUCGAGCUAUAUAGUACCGUGAAAAGGGAAACUUCACUUGAAAUUUGUUUAACUACAUCACCAAAAUUCUACUCCAACAUAUAAUUGAGCAUUAACAUAUAUUGAAUUAUACGCACAUUAUAUUAGAUGAAAUUCAUGAACUAGACCAAAAUUUUGAUUUUCUAUUAUUUGUUGUUAAAAGAUUAUUACAAAUAAAUUCUAGACAGGUCAAAGUUAUUCUCAUGUCGGCAAUAAUCAAUGUAACAAAAUUUACAAAAUACUUUUCAAAUGAAUUAGCAAUAUCGAAAUUCUCCAAUUAUCAAAAUUCCCGAAAA